UGAUCAAGUUGAUAUAGCAAAAUUGAGCCAGGGUAAAGGAAAUACUAUACGAGGCGGACUAACCGAAGAUUUUACCCUUAUAUAUUAUUUACCAGAUAUAAUACUAAUUCCUGGUGGUGUAUUUUUUAAAUACGUUAAUAUCUUUAAAUAUCAGCCAUGUUAAGACAUGCUGUUGUGGCUGGAACACAACGACAGGGAAAAUAGCAUCCCUGCAUGAGUUUGGUGGCAUCCGACUUAUUUCAGUGGAUGCCUUUUUACUGCAGCCUUGAAUUGACUGGAGAACUCAGUCGGUCACUUACAGCUCAGGAGAAAAUCAACGCCAGCUUUUUAUCUCUCAAAGACUUUGAUGAAUGGAAAUCGUCGGGGAUCACUCCGUCUAGAAUCUUUUUUUUUCUCUAUCAAUAUUCUGUUCCGGACUCGUCAUGUUUGCAUCUUGACUGGAGUAAAGUUUUCCAACAUGUUAUCUCGUUUAUGACCGGAGUUUCUUCAGCCUACAGCCGUUCUCUGUCUGAGGGAUGGAUAGGGACAUGGCAAGUUGUCAGGUAUCUGUUAAUACUGUAUCUGCAUUUUCUCUUCAUUUUCUUCAUUUGUGUUUUUGAAGCAAAUUAGCCAAUUCCAUUUGUUAACCUUAGGGAUUUGAUUGUCCCGCGGUGCUUUUGGGUAUAGUAAUAAAAAACAAAUAUAUAUAUAGGUAUUUGUUUAUACUUAUAUUAUGAAAAUAAGCUUUCAAAGUGGUCCUUCUUUUUCUCAGGCCUCUCCUUGAAUUCAAAGGCUUUGCCUGAAGCAAUUUUCAUUAUUAGGCCAAAUCAGAAGUCAUGUAAAAACAAACGACAUUUGUUAUUUGUUUCUUGUGUUGUAUUGUCAUAAAACAUAUCCUUUAAAAUAAGCAAAUUAAAAGCUACGAAGGCCCUGCGGUGUGCUAAUUGUAGGCUAUUGAAAUCUAUACUCAUUUUAAGGCCUACUUUUCAGCAUGCCAUUUCGUUUUUUAGGCUACCUUUAUAAUGAUUAACUCACGUAUACUAAAAUAAUAGCCCGAUCAUAAAGGUGGCACGAGCAACCAGAGCUAUCGAAUAACUCACAGAGGUUGUUUACCUGCUUUAAUAGCCUAAUAAAUUACGGUGUUGUGUGGAAAAUCAUUGUGCCUGAUAUCGUUAUCCGAAAGCAUCGCGCUUGCUCCUCGCCGUUUAAAUUGCUAAAUUAUUUAUUAAAUUCAAACACCAGCCCUCCUCCGGGACUUUCUAUCUUAAAAGGAGGACGAUGUUUAAAGGGAAAACCAGUUAACGCCUCUGGCAAUCAGCGCUCCCACUGGCUCCCGGCUAAUUGACAAGGACGAGGUCUUUUAUCUGUGCCUCUGGUAAGUGAACCCGGGGGUUAAGAGUUGCGGGAUUCAAAUCCCAAAUUCAACACAAAUUGGAUGUAUGAAUCAAACUCUACCUAUACCUAUUCUUCUUCCUCUUUUCAUCUAUUCGCACUAUGACUUACCACUUCACACUUUAACCUCAAUGUUUUUUUAACCGAUUAUUAAAUCCCCGUUGCCUUCUCGUGUUCAUGUAAAUGUAUCCCAUUCAUCAUCAUUCAUCAUUCAAUUAUAACAUAUAUAUAUUUACACCGUUUUAUAUUUACACAAAUUUAACAAAAAUAAAUAUUAUACAUUUUCAGAUGUGCACUCUUCGCUCCAUCUCGCUCUCCCUCUCUCUUUCUUCCUCCCUCACAUGCACACUUCUACACACGUCUCUUUUUUAGACUAGAAUAGAACAAACAAAUACAUACAUACAUACAUACGUACUGUACAUACAUACAAAUACAUACACAAUUAGGCUAGGCUACAUAAAGCAAGCUGCUCUUCAUUGUUUGGUUGUGUCGAAGCAUCACCUUCCUCCUCGUUUUAAAAUCCCGCACGAUCACUGAUUCAGUGGAAUGUAAAGGGGAUUUUUUUUCUGCGCCAAAACUCAAUAUAAACUGUUUCACCUUAAAACGGACAUAAUCUCAGGAUCAAGAGAAGACGUUGACAGACUACUAUAUUGUAGGAUUAAUAUCUGUGUCUUAACAGCAUAAAGGACCUUCAAUCUUUUUGAAAUGGCCUAAUAUAAGGCCUUCUUUUCCUAUGAAAUAAAGAAUCCACGUCAGGAAUUUUAAUGAAAAACAACGAAUCAAAAAAACGAUUCCUCUGCAAUCUCAUUCAUUCAACCAAGGAUGAUUCAACAGUAUUAUUAAGAUAUAACUUAAUUUAGGAGAACCUACUAAACCUUUUAGUUCGUUUUAUAAUGCUCAAUCAUUUGUUUCUUCAAGCGACUGUUGUAUACAUUGUAUCUUAAAUAUGUUAUGCUGGAUAUAAUACAAAAUAUAAUAAUCCUUGUAUAGUGUAAGAAUAAUAACAAAAUGAAAAUGUACUUGUACAUGUAAAUAUAAUUCGUUCAGGAUGCUAUUAGGCCCAUAACCUUGUCACUGGUUGGAAUAACUUUUGUUCCGGUAGUUUAUGCAGUGCACAUUAUAUAUGAACCUGAGAUUCUGAGAUUGUCAAGCCAUAAUAAUUUGUUAUUGAUCCGUAGUCGAUUUUAAAAUGCCAUGAUGAUUGAUAUUGGUACUAUAAUUCAUGUUGAGUAGAAGUGAAAAUAAAAUAAAUCAAUAAUAGUUGUUGUACACGAAGAGGAAGGAAAUGUGGAGAGCAUAUUUAAUGUAGUUGUAGACGUAGCAUCCCUCUGGCGUUGUGAGGAGAGAGAGAGAGAGAGAGAGAAAGAGAGAGAUAGGAGUCGAACAGAAUGGUUUAUCACAAACUGUAUUGAAAUGAGUUCAUCAGGUUUGAUGGAUGUGCUAGUGUCCUGGUGAAGGUGUGUAAGUAACACAAGGCUUCAAUGAAAACCUCGUUUUAUCUGCUAUUCCCUCAUGGCAAAGGGGCUAACCCUUUGUGUAAUGUAACAUGUAACAUUGACCCUUCAGGUCAUCAAUACACAUUCAAAGUAUUCCCCUGGGUUUAGGGGGGCGGCAGGCAUGUUCACUGUCAUUUUCUCACAGUCUAAUGAGAUGAAGGCUGAAAUUGUACACUCUCCUGCGUCAUGUAGUGUGUUUGUUUUCAGUUGAUUCGUGUUGUAAAUGAAAUCCAUGGGUCUGUUUACCAUUUGUACCAUCAUUAUACUGUAUACUGAACCUGUAGAAUCACACACUGUGUGGGUGUUGAAGAACUCUGCUAUCUGCUAACUGUUGCCUACCAUAUUUAGUCUGGAUCUGCUGUCUGGUGUUUAGAUUUCUUCGCUACAGAAACAUUGUCUUGCCUCUUGACUGAGUGUGAACAGAUGGGUAGUGAUAUGGUGAAAAACGUAGCUAAAAUGUUAGAGAUGGAAUAAUCUAGACAAGCUCACUUUGCGGAAUACUUAAAAGGAUGCUCUUGAAUAGUUGUAUCUGUUGUUUGUAGAUCUUAAUUCUCAGUGCAGUGUUAACUACACUCAUCUAGAGCCUACUUGGUUUCUAGGGCUGAAUAUGAAAUAGAAAAUGGAAAAAUCCACAUAUUAACCAUCAAGUGUAUCAGUAUUGGUGUUCUCACUCGCUGGCUGUAUUACAUGAUCGUGUAAAUCUGUUAUCGUGUUAUAAAAUCCUCAGAAAAUGGUAGCACUGUAAUAGUCAUGACUCUAUGGGUAUUCAUCUUAUAGAAUCGUUUUUUUCCUCUACACAACUGGAUAGUGAGGAAGGGGAGUGCAUAUGUCAGCUCAGUGUGUGCUGAGUUUGCUUCUGCCGUUAAUAUGGCAUGCCUAAUAAUCAGUGCUGUAAUUGUUUGCCUUGUGUUUGCACAGGGCCUCUGCAACAAACACAUAGAUUCAAUUAAAUACACUCUCCUUCAGACCAUCAACAUGACGGAGCAAAGUCCAGAUACACAGACAUUCAACAAGGACAAACAAGGAGGAAGAUACCUCUCACCAGACUCACACUGACUUGAAGUUCAUUAGCUUACGAAAGCAAGUUUUGCUUUCCAAUGUAACUUAUGAUUGCUAUGGUUUUUUAUUCAAAUGUACCUUAUGUCAAAUGUAUUGUUGAUAUAUGUUGCUACCAUUGUUAAUGAUAUUCAAAAUAUUUAAAAUCAUGUCCCUUGCAUUCAAACUAUGUGUUUGUGGUUUUCACUAACCCGGGACACUGUAAUAUUAUGGCUGACUUAUCCUUCAACCCCAGCGGUGUGUAAAUAAAGAUAUCUAUGUUGA